rnacentral:ncRNA from 1 species
AGUUGGUGCAGUGAAUAAGGCAGUAAGCUUGGGCAACCAAGCCGAUGAGUCGUCGUUGACCUAGUGCGAUUCUGCCGAUAUAGAUUAGGCGCACUAACC